rnacentral:tRNA from 1 species
GGGAUAAUAGUAUAAACAGUAUAUUUCUCUUUCUAAGAAAAGGUUAGUUAUCUUA